rnacentral:lncRNA from 1 species
GCUCACCUAAGACAACAUCUCAGGCAUCUUUGGCAUAUUUGACUCUUGUGUUCUUUAUCCCUCUGUUUUUAUAUUUCAGGGGGCGUGGGGCUGAUGUGACACCAAAGUAUCCUAACUGAACUCCACAAGGUGGGGAUCCGUUCCUCUCAGAGGCCCUGUUCCUACAGACACACUGUGAAGGUGUCUUGAGCACAGGUCAUCACCCUCUUUUGGAUCUUCGAGAGAACCUGGCCACUGUAAUGCACCUGAGAGGUUGAAAGCCCUGUCUUUAACAGGACGGUGAGUCAGGGCACAGCAGUGUAAGCCCGUCAUUGGGGAACAUGCCAAAGAAUAUCCAGAAGAGAUCCCUAAAGCAGAACAUUUCAAGAGCACAGGUCUACUAUCCAGGAUCAGCUGUACUCCAGGAAUCCAGACAACGAAAGAUACCUUCCUUUUAGAAUUACUAUGCACCGCUACUGCGCGAUUCAGGAGAUAAAAGUUUUCAAAAGCAUUGCAAACCAAGGCAGGACUCAAGGAGCCUUUUAAAAGUAUGUUCUUAUUUCUAUGUCACAUCAGGGCCUAACUCACACACUCUUGAGAAAGAACACCUGCUGAGAUGAUUUCAAUACGGGAAAUGCAUCUCCCCUGAAAAUACUUCAUUAUAUUGUCUCAUUUUGUGAAGUGGGGC